UACAGAGGUGGCAAGCGUUGUUCGGAAUUACUGGGCGUAAAGGGCGCGUAGGCGGCCUUCUAAGUCGGACGUGAAAUCCCCAGGCUUAACUUGGGAACUGCGUCUGAUACUGGAUGGCUUGAGUUUGGGAGAGGGAUGCGGAAUUCCAGGUGUAGCGGUGAAAUGCGUAGAUAUCUGGAGGAACACCGGUGGCGAAGGCGGCAUCCUGGACCAACACUGACACUGAUGAGCGAAAGCCAGGGGAGCAAACGGG
rnacentral:rRNA from 1 species